UUUCAAUCUGAGUGGGACUGAUAAAAUGAAUGUGUGUAUCAAUUCCGCCUGCCGUAAUGAUAAGCCCUUCCCCGGCUAUUACCUCUGUACCGGCUCCUACAAUCAGAUCAGGACUCACUCCGUCCAUGAUAUCCGGAUUUCCAGCCUUUCCUAUGCCGCAGAUCCUGCCUUUUUUAAUUCCCACAUCCGCCUUAAUGAUUCCCAUAUGGUCAAUAAUCACCGUAUUCGUAAUCACCAUAUCAGGACAAUCUCUGUCAGAUACAUUGCAUGCCUGUCCCAUACCGUCACG
rnacentral:sRNA from 1 species